UCAAUAAGAUCAUAUUAUAAAAGGUCCCACGCUUUAAUAAUAAUAAUAAAAAAAAAAAAAAAGCAUUUGAGUGGCCUCUUUAAAUGUUACAGCUUAGUAGCCAUUAUGGAUAGUAGUCACAAUACGCAUACAAUAACUUAUUUUAGCAACUGUGUACGGUCCAUUAAAAUAGUUUACUUGUAUACUUGUGUCCAGCUCUCAUACCGAUAUUUAGAACCAAUAGAACUAAACGUAUUUAGCUUCGAAUAUGUUGUCUAAAAUUAUGCAAUGUCGAUUCUUCUAUUUUAGUAUUUAUGAAGACAAAUGUAAUCUGAAAAUCAUUCACGGCAUGUAGAUCUAUUGAUUGAUUAUUUUUAGUGCUCUACAUGUGGAAUUUGUGUCAUUGUGUCAUUUUCGAUUAAAUAAAAAGUAAUCCCGUUUUUUCCCCCCACCAUUUUAAUACUGUAAAAGACAGAAUUAAAGCAGUACUUCUCUACCAUCAGGCGUAUUUGAUUUAGAAAAACGCGCUAUAAAGUACUCUUUUCCAGAAAUAUUGUUACGUAUUGCUUUCGUAAUAAUCGUACGUUGUCACAAAGAAGGAGUCUGUCUAACAGAAUAAACAAAUUAUCAUUUUAUGAUGCCUGUAUAAUAAUAAAUGACAUUUGUAUUAUUAUACGAGGUCUUUCGUUAUUUUUAUUAUUAUAUUGAGCAACAGCACAGUAUUAUUACUGUAAUUUUUAUACAUAGAAUCUUGACAUUUGUUAAUAAAGUAUCAUUCGCGCCUACACACACACACACACACACACACACACUUGUUAAUGAAACAAUACAUCGUAGUGUAUUCAAGGACAGUAUUUUGUUUCGGUUCUAAAACACCAAACACAGUCUCGACAAGUGUCUUUUGACAAUUACUUAAGUGUGUAUAAUUAAGCAUAUGCACAAUGCGACGCUCUUUUAAACAUCAUUAGUGUCUUAACUACUAAUACGGUGUUUCAAAUUUGCAUUAUAGUUCCAAGAAAAUAAGCAGUUGUGACUAAUUCAAUUAGUUUCGCAACAUACUUUUAAGACGGGAAUGCAGACACUAAUACGAUUUAAUUACGGCCAUAAUUUACAUUUAGAUUAACUGCGACGUUUUUAUCUUAUUAUUCUCCUCCAUAAUAAUAAUAUUAAAACGAUGCUUUAAAUGAGUACAUCAGACUACCAAUAAUGAGACGUAAUUCGGUUAUAACACAAUUAUUUUAAUUAUAAAUAUUUCAUAACUUCGUAGGAAUGCACAGGAACUCGUUAAAAAAACUUCCCAAAGGCACCUUGAUAAAAUUGAUCGUCCUUAUUAAAUUUCCCUAAUAGAAGAGAAAAACAAAAAAAAAAAAAAGGUGAAGGGU
rnacentral:lncRNA from 1 species